rnacentral:lncRNA from 1 species
CGGUGGGGGAUUAGUGCCUAGGGUUUGGGUUUGGUGUGAUGUGAGAUAUUUAUACCCGUCUCCCCUAAAUCUAGGUCGUUCAUCGCGUUUGAUCUCGACCGUCCAAUCACGUUUAAAGAGAAAAUAAAUCUGGAUUAUUUAUCGUGAUUUGAUCUCAACCGUACGAUCGUGUUUGAAGAGGAAACGAAUAUAGACCGUUCAUCGUGUUUAAUCACGACCGUCCGAUCGCGCUUAAGGAAGGAACGGAUCCACACCAUCCACGCGUACGGGAUCGCAUCCGGGUCAUCCGAUUGUGGGCAUGCGGAUUACCAGCGUGGCCUCCCACGUGGCACCGAGUCAGCAUGCCUUGCCAUGCAGCGUGCUCCAGUUCGUCAGAACUGUUAACUAGUCGGUCCUACAUGGUACAUUUUUUCUUAAUUGCAUUUUGACCUCCAGUUUCUGAUUUUUCUUUCAAAAAUACAUCCCGAAAUAAAAUUUUCACCCAUUUUUUUCAAAUUAUUUUCAACUUCAUCC